UCUUCCCGGACCGGGGUACGAGCCUGCAUCCCCUGCAUCGGCAGGCGGACUCUCAACCACUGCGCCACCAGGGAAGCCCCUGUGUGAGAAUACUUUGAGUAUUUCUCCACUUUUCUAUCCACAACCCCUUAUACUUUCUCUGCCCUUUUUUUGUGGUGUUCUGUGCCCUCAGAGCUUUAUCUCUGCAGACUGCAUUGCCUAGAUCUCUUUGCCAGGUGGCGUUUGCCAAUGGGAGGUACCAGAAAUGUUGGGGUACCUCACUACCCUCCUUUAGGGUGCACCUGAUAGGCAAUAACUGGACACUGGUACACAUUGGCAGUGUUUCAUUUUCAUUUGGAGGAACAAUCUUGAGGAGGGUUGAUCUGAAGGCAGUUCCCAGCUCCUCCUGCCUUGAGCAAUUCAGCUCUCACCCCAAACCUGCAAACAUUGCAGAGAAAGUAUAAGGGGAGUGUGGAUAGAAAAGUGGAGAAGCACCAACCUGCCUUUCUUAGAGGUUGUAUUAACUUACAUUCCUGCAGCAAUAUAUAAAUAUGUUCAUUAAGCUAUUUCUUCUCCAACAUAGUGCAUUUUCAAAGUAUUGGAUCUUUUCCCAUCUGAUAGCUGGAAAAUGUAACAUUAUACUUUUAAUAGCUUUUCUCUUUUAAUAUAUGUGUUAAUAUUUUUCAAUGUUUUAAGGAUUAUUUAUAGUUUUCUUCAUUGAACAUCAGUAAUUUCACAUCCUUUGCCCAUAUAUUCUAUUAGAGGGCCUGUUUUUUUCUUAUCAAUUUACAGUGCUCUUUAUAUACUAAGGGAAUAGACCUUUCAUGUCUGUGCUUAAUUUAUGUGCUUUUUUCAGCUUAUCUUUUUCUUUUUUCAUUGUUUAUGUUUUUUUCCUGUGCAGACUUGUUUUUGUGUUGUCAAAUUAAUCACAUUUUCAGGGAGUAUGGACUUUAUGCCAUACUUAUGCCUUCUGUACAGUGAGAUUUUAUAUGUAUAUUUUUUCUAGUAACUACAUGAUUAAAAAAAUAAGUCUUUGAAUCAUCUGAAAUUUCUUUAGGUGUAAGGGUUGAGAUAUUCUGCUCCAAAUCACUACCAUUUUUCCUAACACCAUUUAUUGAAUAAUCACUUUUUAUCUCCUGACUUAUAAUUUCAUUUUUAUCAAAUGCCAAAUUCCGAAAUAUAUUUCAGUUUAAUUCUGGACUUUAUACUCCACCCCUUGUGCUGCCUGUCUGUUCAUGCACCAGUAACACUCUGCUUUAAUUAUACACUUCAUGGUGAGACAGGAAAUGUCUUACCUGACCCAUAAUUUAUUUAUGCAUUUUCCUACUAUUAUUGCAUGAACUUGUGUGCUCUACUUCAAAUUAAUUAUGAAAGCUGAUAUAAGGUAUUCUUCAGCUCUUAAAAAAAAUCACAAAGAAAGAAGAGGAGGUAAGGGAAACAUUCAGAUUCUUUUCCAUUCACGAACAUGAUUUUCAGUAUUUUGGAGGAAUCUUUUUAGUUUUUUCAGAUAUUUUUCAUAUUCUUUUUUUUUUUUUUUUCCAUACGCAGGCCUCUCACUGUUGUAGCCUCUCCCAUUGCAGAGCACAGGCUCUGGACGUGCAGGCUCAGCGGCCAUGGCUCACGGGCCCAGCCGCUCUGCAGCAUGUGGGAUCCUCCCGGACCGGGGCAAGAACCCGUGUCCCCUGCAUCGGCAGGCGGACUCUCAACCACUGCGCCACCAGGGAAGCCCCAUAUUCUUGAUUUUAUUAUUUACCACCUAGUAUAAUUAAGAAAAGAAAUGAGAUUUUGGAAUAAUCAAUACUUCUGUAACAAUUGUUGAUAUACACAUUCACUUCAGGAUCGGAGAAUGAUCUUUUUACAGAAAUCCAGAUUUUCAGAUCACUAAUCCUAGAAUAGAAUCUAAUUCUCCACCCUCUUAGAGUUGGCAUUCAAAUACCAGUUUUGUGCUUUAGUAGUUGAGUAAUCUUUGGCAAAGUUAUUUUAUUUCCUCUGCGUCUUUUUUUUUUUUUUAAUAAAAUGGAGAUGAUGUUGUGGGAUGUUCCCAUUUGCAAUUAUCCAGUGGCCACCAAAGGCUGAGUAGGCCAGCUCUGCCACUGAUGGAUGUGAAGACUCUUUGGCGCAGCACACCAUGUCUAUAGAAAGCUACAUGUAUUAAAAAUAAAGACUCACAGCUAAACCAAAACGUUCAAUUUCUGGGCCCCCUUUGAAGAAUAAGAAGAUUUCCCCCAUUUUCUCUUUAUGGCAGGAGAAUUAAAUUUGAUUAAGCCACAGUGAGGUUCUGGAGGAAGGUUCUUAGAGAAGAUGGGUCUUUCAAGGAGAGUCCUUCCAAGGGUGAAACUUCAUCCGCAUCACUGUGCUAGUUCUUAAUGGUCGAAAGCUGCCUAUCUACCAUUUUCCUGCUAUUGGAAUGUUCAUCUUCUCCCUCCUCCACUUAGUGCUGAGGCCAAGACAAGGAGCCACAGGGGCUUCAGGCCACCAACGGGCAUCCACCAAGGUUUGUCCCAAAGCUGGUCAUCACAGACCUAGGAGCGCUGCCCUUCAGAAGCCACAGUCCCCUGUGAAGCGUGCUGGUUUCUGAAUAAAGGGAGUGAGCAUUUUAGUUUGUGAGAUGUCAGGAUGCAGGAGAGCAUGUGAGACAUUAAGCAGUUUGGUGUGGUUGGCUGGACACCUGUAGGAAAUGGGUUGAGGAAGAUGAGGACCAGAUGGGACUGGGUCAAAAAUGGCUGGAAGUAAGACUAAACCCAACUAGCUGACUGGUCACUUUCUUCUUUGUGUCCUUACUCCACACUGCAUGGAUUUCUAUCCUGGUAUUUUUCAGAAUUGGUUAUACUUAUAAAAUAUAAGUUGCCUUUACUUCACUAUAAAACCCUGAGGAAGAAGAAUGUUUGUUGCAUUCCUUUCUAUCCCAAAUGGCCAAUACAGUGCUUGGCUCCACAGUACUAUACAGUAUUAUAUGAUUGUAGCCCAACUGGUUAUUAUGAGCAUGGAUAACAGAAUGAAAUAGACUUGGGACUGAGUCAUGACCUGUUACUACCAACCAUGACCUUGUACAACUUAAUUGCCUGAGCACCAGAAUAUUAGUAAUAAAAUAAUAAUAACUAAUAAUAAUUAUUAUUUUUAGUUAUUAUUAUAACAUUUCUUUAGAGUCAACUAUGUGCCAGGCAUUGAUAAACUUUUUACAUGCAUUGUCUUAUUUAAUUCUCAUAUAAACUGCAUCAUAGGUAUGAUUUUAUUCCAGUUAUUCAAUUGAUAAAUAGUAAUGCAUACAUAUUAUGACUCACUGAAGUUAUAGAUACUGAAAAAUAAAUAAAGUACUUAAAUUGUUGCUUGUUUGUUUUCCAUCUCAGUCUGAGCAAGAAAACUAAUGCCGAAGCUAGAUAAGCAGAACGUAGAUUGUCCCCAUGCAUUAGUUGUCUGCUACUGUGUAAUUACUCCAAAACGCAGUGGCUUAGAACAGCAGUAAACAUUUAUUAUCUCACACAGCUUUUGUAGGUCAGACGUCCAGGAGCAGCUUGACUGGGUAUUUCUGGCUCAGGCUCUCUUGUGAAAUUGUAGUCAAGAUUUUGGCUGGGAUGCAGUCAUUUGAAGGCUUCCUUGGGCUGGCGGAUCCACUUUGAAGAUGGUGCACUCACGUGCUCCACGAGUGAUUGCAGGCUGCUGACAAGAGGCUGCAGUUCCUUGCCAUAUGAUGUCUCCAUAGGGUUGCUUGAGUGUCCUCAUAACAUGGCAGCUGGCAUCUCACAGAUUGGGUGAUUCCAGAAAAGACAAGGCUAAAGCCACACUGACUUUUAUGACCUAGCCUUAAAAGCCAUACUCUGUCAUUUUGAAAUACUCCUUUAGUUAUACCCCUAUUCAAGAGCAUGAAAAUCAGGAAGCAAGACUCAUUGGAGGCCAUCUUGCAGAGUGCCUACUGCCAUGUGGGUUAAGAGGAUGAGAAAGAAAGAUCACAGCGUCAAGUCUACACAAAAGUUAGUAUGGCUCAAGACAGGUUGGGAUGAGUAGUUGAAAGCUAAAGAUAUGAACAAUGCAGAAGUGAGAGAAGCCAGAUUUUAUGUGGCUAUGUGUGUGUGUUUCAGGAUGGGGAACGUGACUUAAGUGAUCUACCUGUGUAGAGACGGACUUUCUUUGAAAACUUGAAUACCCUUUUUGAAAGAUUGGGUGGGGGAAAUGUACAGAGCAUGGAUAACGUUCAUCUCAGAUACACAAACAGGGGAAAAUGUAUAAACGAGACACAUCCUUCAGAAGAAAGUCUGAAAGUUAGUGACCUUUUACCAGACUCUUGUGUUUUAGAUAAAAGAGAAUGUGCUCCAGAUAAUGCCUGUAACUGGCCCAAAAGAUGAUGUCACUGAAUUGAACCUGCAAUUUAAGUAGAAAUAAAAGGAAAAAAAUAAAUCAUGACGAUAAAGAAGUAAUAAAGACCUGGUUUGAAAAACAAAAAUUCCUAUUCGGCAAUAUCUUGGGGAGGAAAAAAUGAUGGUAUUUAGAUCAGCAAAUCUGGGUCAAAUGCAUCUCAAGGAAUUAGCAGAAAAGAGUGGAGGGGGGAAAAACUGAGAUUUUUGAACAAGAAAUGCAUGGCUCCUGCAAAGAAGUUACAUACUUUUUAUUAUUUUCCAGCUCAAGUGAUUGACCUGCGUUCAUGGUCAAGUUCAGAGGUCAAUUUUGUGAUGGCUCAUCGAAUUAUAUCUAAAGUCCAGAGUCAUGUGGGCUCUUCCGUGGGGAUCCCUUCCCACCACCCCCGCCCUGCAGUCAUGCUGAGGAACAAAGCCAGGGCACUGCCCUCUCCUGACUCGCACACCAGAUCGUCCACAUGGGUACCUUGGGGAUUACCAUUAACUUUCUGAGGAAUCACGAGGCAGCCUGAAGUUAACCAGCACCUGGGAAAAAAUAAGACAGAUGUUAUUAUCUCCAUUUUAUUCACCGGAAAUCAAAGCUCAGAGAGAAAAAUGUGUGCCCAAGAUGUGCUGGCUUGUCACUGACUCACCAUUGCAGCUGCCUUGAGAGCAUCCUCAAAGGUCUCCUACAACUCAGAGUGUGGUAUGAAGAUUGGAAGCAUUAGCAUCACCUGACACCCAAUCUGCUAAGACGAGCAUCUGCAUUUUAACCAGACCCCCCAGAAGACAGGGUGUGAGAAGUGCUGCUCUGGACCACUGAGCUGGAGACUGAAAACUGCAUCUCCCAGACUCUACCAUCAGCUAGUGAUGUGUGGUCAGAUACUCUCUCAUGAUGCUGGGCAGUGACAGCUAGCUGCAACUCCCUCUCGGCCACAGACCUGAGGAUAAAUAAUCCAUACACCGACAACCGUUCUGUCUUCAUACUGAUUUCUGCAAAGUUUCUCUAGACCUAAGGAAGAUCCUUGAGGAGACGUGAUACUUAUUUGUGGAAUCACUCCUAGAGCUUUGCACGUGAACUGGAAUAUAUGAGACUCCUGAUUUGCGACAACCGCAGAUUUGUGAACUGCCACGACACAUCCCCUCGGAUCUGUGUUAUUCCUAAUUAAGGCCAGCAGAGACUUCUGCACAAGCUGCCUUCCAGCCUGGGGUGAGUCACAUCUUUAUGCCAUUUUUGCCCCAGCCUGCAUGUCUCUCUCAAUCUAAUGGGAGCAAUUACUUCACAAGAAUUGCCCGGUUGUUGUCAGGAACAUGGCAGUCUAGAGACAAUUUAGAAGAAAAACAACCUCAAGCCUUCCGGGGUAUACCAUGGCCUUUGUAUCCAAUUUGCUUUUCUGAAGAGAAAUCUCAGUCUGAAGCAUCUGCUUUUGGGUAAUUUGAUUAUACUCACAUCUCCUCCUGCAAAAAAAAAAAAA